rnacentral:lncRNA from 1 species
CUUAUUGAGAGCUUACUCUAAUGCUUCAGUACCGUUCCAGUGUCACUGGUGAAAGUCAUUUGGUGUUGCAGUAUUUUACAGUGAACGAGCGCAUCAGACAACCGCUUCUCCGUGGUUCAGCUGCAGCCUAUAUUCCCCGGGCUACUAAAUUGUAGCCACAAACCAGGGAUCCAAAUAAUAACAAGAAGACUCCUAAUCUCUGAGUGUUUAACCUAGGUGAAACUCGCUAAAUACUUUGUACAUAGAUUAUAGGAGUGUAUCAAAUCAUGAUUUUAACCUAGGUACAGGCAACUUCAAGGUUUGAACUUUAAAUCAUGGCUUCAUUUGAGGGGAACAAAAGAAUUAUUAUAAAUAAUUUUAUGUGUCUCAACAUAGCAGAAUGUUUAAAUUUCUAUUAAAGAUAGACUACCUUACAAAGCGAGGUAGGUAAAUUGCAUGUCAGAGUGGUUUGGUUUCAAAUCUCUUCUAGCUAUUUUGAAAUAUACAAUAAAUUAUUGCUAACUACUCCAUGAACAUCACCUGUUACCACUUAAGAAGGGUGCGUACCCUCCAGCCGCAUCCAUGCCAGUUCCCGUAAUUUUAGAAUCAUUUUAUUUUAAGAAAUGUCUUUUAAGGUGAGCAAAUUCACAUCAUCAAUACAUGUUGGCUUUAACCUUCAGAUCCGGUCACAGCAUUUCUGAUUAAACUUCUUACCUCCCUGCUACACCAAGCCUUUGAAAUAUUAUUUUACAAAAUAGUUGCUGUUGGACAUAAAUAGAAUUUCUCUCCUGCUCUAUUCUGUGUGGCUUACUCGUAUAUCUUCUGUGUCCAUUUCCACCAUUUCCUCAUUCUACCUGAUGAAAUCUAUGCUAUGGGAAGACAGGCAUUUUUGACUCCUUUGUUUAACAACGUAUCUCAAAGAACUAGAACAGCAGCUGACUCAUAUAAGUGAGCAACAAAAAUGUGUUACACAAGUGAAAGGUUUCAGUGUUUACGCCACUUGAGACAUUGCCCUAGAUGCAGUGGGUGUUACUGUGAGAAAUCAUAGCCUCAACCUUUGAAAUACUUGUAGUCUAGCAUAGCACAGAAGAGCAGGGACUUUAUUCUGAAUUAUCCUCUAGCUCUCACAAGAAAAAAAGAGGUGAGGAGAAACAUCAGAAGAGGAGAGAAAAUAAAUUACAAUGAGUUACCUUAUUUUCCUGUAGGUACUGUGAAAUAUAUAUGUAUAAUUGUUACUUUGUAAUAUUUUCACAUUCAUUUAUAAAAGUAAAGAUGUCCAUUAUAUUUAUAUAUCACUCUGUUACAUAUAUUGUGAGGAUGUUUUUUCUGAUUCAUCAUGGAUCACAUACUUUGUUUUCCAUAUCAAUUGCCGUAAAUGUUUAUUAACGAACUCGUAAAUAAUCAUAUCUGUCAACAUGGUUUUAGAAUGAGAGAAAAUAUAAACAGAGAAAUGUGCCCCUGGUGGGGAAAAAAGAAAAGGAGAAAGAAAAGAAGGCUCUGUAGGUUUAUGUGCGAUUUGAUAAGAACAACAGCUUACACUUCCCGAGGAUUUGUAACGUGCCAGUACCUGGAAUGAAUCAAUGUCUUUAUGCAUUUCUCUACACUAAGUCCUCAGAGUACAGAAACCACAGCACAGAGAAGUGAAGUGCCCAAUUCAGCCCAAGUACACUUUGUCAUUUCUCCCAUGUAUCUCUUUACCCAUUAACUUUUGAGGGAAAGAACCGCGUUGCUCAUUUCCUCGUAUCUUCAGAUCCCUGUACAAGCUGAACGCUUACCGGAUGUGUAAUAAGUAUUCAUUGAAGAGUUGGGUAAUUACUCUCUUGAAAUCCUGGGUAUCUCAUCCCAACUACUCCCCCAUCUGCGAGGUACCUGUUAAAUUAUUUUAUGCCAA